rnacentral:rRNA from 1 species
GUAGGCGGCAAGCGUUGUCCGGAAUUAUUGGGCGUAAAGCGCGCGCAGGCGGUCCUUUAAGUCUGAUGUGAAAGCCCACGGCUCAACCGUGGAGGGUCAUUGGAAACUGGGGGACUUGAGUACAGAAGAGGAAAGCGGAAUUCCAAGUGUAGCGGUGAAGUGCGUAGAGAUUUGGAGGAACACCAGUGGCGAAGGCGGCUUUCUGGUCUGUAACUGACGCUGAGGCGCGAAAGCGUGGGGAGCAAACAGGAUUAGAUACCCUGGUAGUCCACGCCGUAAACGAUGAGUGCUAAGUGUUAGGGGGUUUCCCGCCCCCCUUAGUGCUGCAGCUAACGCAUUAAGCACUCCGCCUGGGGAGUACGGCCGCAAGGCUG